GAUUAUAUAUAUUUUUAACGCAUUAUCAUUGAUUUAUUUACUGAACUAAAAGAUUAAAAUAUUUAUAGGAGCAUUAUCAUUACCUCAUUACAUAAUAAUUGUGUCCGGGAACGUGCGGAGGGCACUUUAUUUGCCAUAGACAACUUAUGCAUUUUUCUGCAUUUAUUUUUUCCUACUACCGCUUGAUUUUGUUUCCGUUUAUGUCAAAAGUGUCAAAACAGUUUCAAAAUAUUGUAAAUUUAUUGCAAAUAAUCUCAGACAUUUAGUUGAAGUGUUAUUUGUUCUUUGUUAUAUAACGGAGAAACGGAGGGUGGAAUUUUUUGUAUAAUAAUUGUAUAUAGAUUAUAGAUUUGUCUGGUCAAUUAGUUUGCCCCGAACACCGCUAUGGGCAGAACCACAAAGCGGCGUACAAAAAACAUACGUAAACGACGUAAAGUAGGUACAAGCUGCCUUACAAUAUCACUAUCACCAUAGCACCAAAUCGAAAAACCUGGCUUGGCGAAAUGUUUUGUAUUACUGCUGAAACGUCAAACGGUUCAACGAAUGCAGAGUAAGUAAAUUGAUACAUUUUAGUACGACGUUUUAGUAGACGAAUUGAUGAUCCUUGAUCGUUUGACACAAUCAAAAAUAUCUAAACACCGUAUGUUAAUAGACCUAAUAAACCGUAGAAUAAGUUUAUAUAAUGUCUGACAUACUUCAGACUCUAUUUAAUCAUAA